rnacentral:misc_RNA from 1 species
GAUGAAGAACGCAGCGAAAUGCGAUAAGUAAUGUGAAUUGCAGAAUUCAGUGAAUCAUCGAAUCUUUGAACGCACAUUGCGCCCGCCAGUAUUCUGGCGGGCAUGCCUGUCCGAGCGUCAUUUCAACCCCCGAACCCCUCCGGGGGGUCGGCGUUGGGGAUCGGCCCUGCCUCUUGGCGGUGGCCGUCUCCGAAAUACAGUGGCGGUCUCGCCGCAGCCUCUCCUGCGCAGUAGUUUGCACACUCGCAUCGGGAGCGCGGCGCGUCCACAGCCGUUAAACACCCAACUUCUGAAAUGUUGACCUCGGAUCAGGUAGGAAUACCCGCUGAACUUAAGCAUAUCAAUAAGCGGAGGA